GACGAACGCUGGCGGCGUGCUUAACACAUGCAAGUCGAACGGAAAGGCCCUGCUUUUGUGGGGUGCUCGAGUGGCGAACGGGUGAGUAACACGUGAGUAACCUGCCCUUGACUUUGGGAUAACUUCAGGAAACUGGGGCUAAUACCGGAUAGGAGCUCCUGCUGCAUGGUGGGGGUUGGAAAGUUUCGGCGGUUGGGGAUGGACUCGCGGCUUAUCAGCUUGUUGGUGGGGUAGUGGCUUACCAAGGCUUUGACGGGUAGCCGGCCUGAGAGGGUGACCGGCCACAUUGGGACUGAGAUACGGCCCAGACUCCUAGGGAGGCAGCAGUGGGGAAUAUUGCACAAUGGGCGGAAGCCUGAUGCAGCAACGCCGCGUGCGGGAUGACGGCCUUCGGGUUGUAAACCGCUUUCGCCUGUGACGAAGCGUGAGUGACGGCAAUGGGUAAAGAAGCACCGGCUAACUACGUG
rnacentral:rRNA from 1 species